GCGUUGCUCGGAAUCACUGGGCGUAAAGCGCACGUAGGCGGAUCUUUAAGUCAGGGGUGAAAUCCUGGAGCUCAACUCCAGAACUGCCUUUGAUACUGGGGAUCUCGAGUCCGGGAGAGGUGAGUGGAACUCCGAGUGUAGAGGUGAAAUUCGUAGAUAUUCGGAAGAACACCAGUGGCGAAGGCGGCUCUCUGGGACGGUACUGACGCUGAGACGCGAAAGCGUGGGGAGCGAACAGG
rnacentral:rRNA from 1 species